GUUCUACCCUUUGCUAUUUGCAUUUCAUCAAUAUCCAUAUAUUUGUUAUAGUUUGUUCAUUUAGGUUUCACAUUAUGUUUGGGAAGGAUGGAAAUUUUUGAAAAGAUCCGACUUUCCUUUUUUGGGAAAGGGAAGAAAGAAGAGGAUGGAAAAUGAAGGGAAGAGAUUCUGCCCUUGGGCCUGCUAAUAUUUUUCCUCCCACUUAGGAGGGCAUAUGGUUGAAAAGAGAUGAUAUUACCAUU
rnacentral:misc_RNA from 1 species